ensembl:lncRNA
UUAUAGGCAUGAAAAGUUAUUGAACAAUGAUCCCAAACCAAACACAAAGGCAGAUCUGGUGCUUGGAAAUCAUCAGGACUUCAUGAUGGACAUGCAAUUGAUCCAGUGACAGAAAUGCAGUAUCUAUUCAACAGUCAGACAGAAGAUGUCAAGAUGCUGAACAAUUAAAAAAAGAAAGUGAUUCCAGUGGAAAACAUUUGACUUUCACCAGCAUAAAGGUGCACACGUUUCCUCACAUUGAUAUCCUAGUACCUCCAUUACAAUGUGUGCGUGCGAAGUCCU